AACGAACGCUGGCGGCGUGCUUAACACAUGCAAGUCGAACGUGAUUCAGAGCUUGCUCUGAUGAAAGUGGCGCACGGGUGAGUAACACGUGGAUAAUCUGCCUGGCGAUUCGGGAUAACACUUCGAAAGGGGUGCUAAUACCCGAAUAAGCCCACGGUCUCUUAGGGGAGCGCGGGAAAAGGGGGCCUCUGUAUAUGCUUCCUGUUCGCUAGAUGAGUCCGCGGCCCAUUAGCUAGUUGGUAGGGUAAUGGCCUACCAAGGCGACGAUGGGUAGCUGGUCUGAGAGGAUGAUCAGCCACACUGGAACUGAGACACGGUCCAGACACCUACGGGGUGGCUG
rnacentral:rRNA from 1 species